CCUCCUCUGCCGCUCCUUCUUUCUUUCUUCCCCAACUCCUCUCUUGCACGGCGUCGUCUUGCCGCCCACGCAGCGAAGAGAUCGAGGAAGAGGCGGGAGUCGUGUCAAUCGAUCUGUCGCACGAGGAUGCGACACUCCCUGUUCCAUCUAGAUCAACGGGCGCAGAGGGAGGUGGAAGAAGAGCCACGACCUCCGAGCAGGAGGCUGUCACCUAGCACCCAUCUGACUGCGGCUAUUUUAUCCAUGAGCUGGAGGAUAAGAGAAGUGCACCUCUAAAAUUCAGAGUUUUGAACCCAAAGAGACGCAUCUAGACAAUGGUUGCAUGAGUGGUUCCAGUGUCAUAUACGCCAACAUGGUUGGAGAUUUGGGAUCGGAUGCUGCGCCAAGAACGAGGGACCAAGGUGCUGAACUAACAGCAGGGGCAGAAUGAUUCUUCAGGUUAUCCUAGACCACUUGGGGACAAUAUCAUCAAUUUCUUGCAUACUGCAAUGCAAGUUCAAAAAGCCAGUUUCUUAUUAUCUCUGUGUUCACCUAACUGACAAGAAUCAUAAAAGGAUGCACCUAAUGAGGUAGACUCCGUUCUAUGCAAUUUUUGAAGUGUACAUAUGGUGUAACUGAUUAACAAAACAUUGUUCAACCUUCUAUGAGUCCACCUAGGGAGCUGCACAGAUUUGGAACAACUUCCAGAACAGGCAUCCAAGAAUUUUGGUUUGGUACCACUAAGCUGCCAGAGCAAGAUAGCUGGGAUGUGUGUCCCAAGGGCAAUGGUAAAUCACAAAUUAGCUGAUCUUUGAUGGGAAGCAUCAGACAAUGCCAAUGUCCAGUAGUAAGAUUUGAUUGUGCAGGUGAUCAAGCCAAGAUAAGUGUUGGAGAUUUGGGAUCGGAUGCUGCGGCAAGAACGAGGGACCAAGGUGCUGAACUAACAGUAGGGGCAGAAUGAUUCUUCAAGUUAUCCUAGACCACUUGGGGACAAUAUCAUCCAUUUCUUGCAUACUGCAAUGCAAGUUCAAAAAGCCAGUUUCUUAUUAUCUCUGUGUUCACCUAACUGCCAAGAAUCAUAAAAGGAUGCACCUAAUGAGGGAGCUGCACAGAUUUGGAACAACUUCCAGAACAGGCUUCCAAGAAUUUUGGUUUGGUACCACUAAGCUGUUAGAGAAACAUAGCUGGGAUGUGAGUCCCUAGGGCAAUGGUAAAUCACAAAUUGGCUGAUCUUUGAUGGGAAGCAUCAGGCAAUGCCAAUGUCCAGUAGCAAGAUUUGAUUGUGCAGGUGAUCAAGCCAAGAUAAGUGUGCGUACAUCCCCUUUUAGUCCAAAUUAAUAAAAAUAUGAUUUCUGCUAUGAUAGUUUCCACAAUAGUUUGGCCCUUGAGACACUUCCACUGUAUGCAUGUGUGUUCCUUUUUUUUCCAGAGAUAUGCAUGUCUAUUGAUCAUUAUUGGAACUGGUUCGACAAACUGUGUAUAUGUGACAAAUUUACUAAUAUACUGACCCUGCCUGAUAAUAUGACUAAUCCAUUGAUACGUCCAUUUUGCAUCAUGCUUUUAUAUCGAUAUUUAUUGCAUUAUGGGCUGUUAUAUACACAUUAUGUCACAAUACUUAUGCCUUUUCUUUCUUAUUUUACAAGGUUUACAUGAAGAGGGAGAAUGCCGGCAGCUGGAAUUCUGGGCUGGAAAAGGAGCAAAUAUUAGAGACCUAUUCGGCACAACUCCAAAAGUCUUGAAACUCCACGAAAGUCAGUUUUGGAAUAUAUUAAAAAUAUUGGGUGAAGAAAGCACCAGAGGGGGGCCACCCACUGUCCACGAGGGUGGAGGGCGCGCCCCCUGCCUCGUGGGCCACCUGGAAGCCCCCCGAUGCCCAUCUUCUGGUAUAAGGUGUCUUUUGCCCUGGAAAAAAUAAGAAGGAAGCUUUCGGGAUGAAGCGCCGCCGUCUCGAUACGGAUCCUUGGCGGAAUCAAUCUAGGGCUCUGGCGGAGCUGUUCUGCCGGGGAAACAUCCCUCCGGGAGGGGGAAAUUGUCACCAUCGAUCCUCUCAUCGGAAGGGGGUCAAUCUCCAUCAACAUCUUCACCAGCACCAUCUCCUCUCAAACCCUAGUUCAUCUCUUGUAUCCGAUCUUUGUCUCAAAACCUCAGAUUGGUACCUGUGGGUUGCUAGUAGUGUUGAUUACUCCU